CCCUGCCGGGAAAACCCCCAUAACUCCGGGAAACCGGGGCUCCCCCGGAUGCUUGAUUGAACCGCAUGGUUCAAUUAUAAAAGGUGGCUUUUAGCUACCACUUACAGAUGGACCCGCGGCGCAUUAGCUAGUUGGUGAGGUAACGGCUCACCAAGGCAACGAUGCGUAGCCGACCUGAGAGGGUGAUCGGCCACACUGGGACUGAGACACGGCCCAGACUCCUACGGGAGGCAGCAGUAGGGAAUCUUCCGCAAUGGACGAAAGUCUGACGGAGCAACGCCGCGUGAGUGAUGAAGGUUUUCGGAUCGUAAAACUCUGUUGUUAGGGAAGAACAAGUACCGUUCGAAUAGGGCGGUACCUUGACGGUACCUAACCAGAAAGCCACGGCUAACUACGUGCCAGCAGCCGCGGUAAUACGUAGGUGGCAAGCGUUGUCCGGAAUUAUUGGGCGUAAAGCGCGCGCAGGCGGUUUCUUAAGUCUGAUGUGAAAGCCCCCGGCUCAACCGGGGAGGGUCAUUGGAAACUGGGGAACUUGAGUGCAGAAGAGGAGAGUGGAAUUCCACGUGUAGCGGUGAAAUGCGUAGAGAUGUGGAGGAACACCAGUGGCGAAGGCGACUCUCUGGUCUGUAACUGACGCUGAGGCGCGAAAGCGUGGGGAGCGAACAGGAUUAGAUACCCUGGUAGUCCACGCCGUAAACGAUGAGUGCUAAGUGUUAGAGGGUUUCCGCCCUUUAGUGCUGCAGCAAACGCAUUAAGCACUCCGCCUGGGGAGUACGGUCGCAAGACUGAAACUCAAAGGAAUUGACGGGGG
rnacentral:rRNA from 1 species